CAAAGGAAAAACGGCAGCCUGGGCAACCCCGCCUCUAUAAGAACUAAAAAAUUAGCCAGGCAUGGCGGUGCAUGCCCCUGUAGUCCUAGCUUCUCAGGAGGCUGAGGCAGGAGGCUCUCUUGAGCCCGGGAGGACAAGGCUGCAGUGAGCCAUGACCAUGCCACUGCACUCAGCCUGGGCAACAGAGUGAGACCCUGUCUCAAGAAAGAAAAACGAGAAAGGGAGAGUCCCUCCACUGUAAGGAGAUCGGGUUCAUUACAUUUUGGGGUGUUGGAGAAAAAUACUGAGUCAGCACCUGUGUGGGAUUGGUGGGAGCAGAUUUGGUGUUUUCCACCCCUUCACAGGAUUCUGAGGUAACUCAUUUCUGUUGGCCUUGGCCUUGUAUGGGGAGGAUUUCCCUCCAGCCUUGUAUGGGGAGGAUUUCCCUUGUAUGGGGAGGAUUUUCCCUCCAGCUUGUGGGAAAGGAAUCAAGGACCAGAGACAGGCAGGGGAGAAGAUCACUGAGGGAUUUACGGCAGCAGCCUCUGCACGGCUUCCCCACGACCUCCCCAGCUGCUUGCUGGACGCUGCUGGAGAAACAGCACAUCCCAAGAUCAUCAUGGCCCCAGCAUCCUCUUGAACUUAGUAACAGUUGGCCUGACAGAUGAAGCGGAUAUCAUCCCUGCCUUAGAAGUUCUCUAGCCCCUUUCUUAGAGAUAAGCUGCUAUUUCAUUCCUAAAAGAAGUCAUGGCUGUUCAGGUGAGAAGAACGGUUUAGUCAGCAUCUAUGCAACACUGUAGAGAUGCUUAGUGAGAGGUGUUGCAGGAGAGUGGCAGACCGCAGGGCCCGAGGUAAGGUUUCUUGUCCAUCUCUGGAAUUUUGGCUUUUUGCACCCUGUAAAGUCACGUCCCCUUUUUUUCUGGUGCUUUGGUGGUGACGUAGGGAGAGGUGAGGAUGAGAAGAGGAGCCAUGUCCUAUGGAUUCCCAGAUCCAGACUCCUCUUCCCUGGGAAAGCUGGAUUGGAGCUGGCCCCUCCUUCUGUGCCUUCAGGGGCUGUGGAGGAGGAGGCCCCUGCAGGGAGCUGCCUGGGGCGAGCGCUGGGGGCUUUUCCUGCAGUGCAUUAGCAGCAUGUCAUAAUGGAAAGUGGCUGGAUUUCUUUCCAGUUGUAAUCAAUGGUUAAGAUUUAACCUAGCAACAUUGUAGGGGUACACAGCCAAAUGAUUCAGGAAAAAAGAUGCAGGUUGAGUCUGGAGGAAUCCCUGUGCCAGCUUCCUCAUGCUCCCUCCCUCUCUCAGAAAUCACAUGGAACCCAUUCUCCCCUCAGCAGUGAAAAUGCAUUCAGCCUGUGUGCAGUGUUUCUGCCCAGGGAAGCCCAGUAGGGCCUCCAUGCCCGGGGUGUUUACUGGGAUCUGGUUAUGUAGACACCACCUGCCUAGCACGCACCAAAAUUCCAGACUUUCAGGAAAACAGGUGCCUGUGCCACAUUAUUUGCACGGAGAGACUGUGUCCAGUGAACGGUUCUGAUCAGUAAACUGUUGACUAGGAACAUCCCGAGAGCCAAGUUCCCAGAUGCCAGCCAAGGGCCAUCUGACCUGUUUUGAAUCUCAAUUUCCUGAUACAGAAAACAAAGGAUUGUCAGCUGACCUCUGUCCUGUGUGCCCAGUGGCCCCAGGUGACGUGUCUUCAAGAAGAGGCUGAGCUGCGGUGCUUGUAAGAGUCAUGUGCUGUUCCUGGGGCUUGGAUGAUGUAGGGGAAGCAAGGUGAAAGUGGUAUCCCGUGGUUCCACGUUCUGUCCUGCUGUGGGGCUGUCCCUCACAUGCUUUCAGUGGCUGUUGCAGAGGAAGAGCCUCCGGAAAUCUGCGUGGGUCUCAGCCUUAGAUCCAAGGACAGUCCAAGGAAGUCCUAAGACCAUGGAGUUGGUGAUCUGGGAUCUGGGUUUGCUGAUAUUUCUCACCGUGAAUCUCUUGGUGGUGUUUGUGGGCACGAGAGGGGCAGAGAAUGGAGAGUGAGGCUACCACAUGAAGCGUCACCAGAGCUGCUCCCUGCUGCCUGCUCAGAGCACCCCGGAUCCACUGUUCAAUCUGCACAAGAUUCGGGGUCCAGACAUGGGAGACUUCAGCUGCCUCAGAGGACCGUGGACAGGGAAGGCCAGCCUCGCAUCCCUCUGUCCAUGCCUGGAAUGACUUUAAUAACCAAGAGUUUUAUUUUUGAAUUUGUAGCUGUCGUUCACUUUUUACCCACCCAUUCAAUAAACCUUACAGAAUUGC
ensembl:lncRNA SNHG17 small nucleolar RNA host gene 17